rnacentral:sRNA from 1 species
UGAUGUAUACGAUGCGCCCCACGUUGUC